GUGUGUGUGUGUGUGUGCUGUGUGUGUGUGUGCUGUGUGCGUGUGCGUGUGUGUGUGUGUGUGUGUGUGUGUGCUGUGCUUGAUUGCAGGAGUGGAGUCAGGUGUGCAGGGGUUGUGCUGCAGCUGCAAAACGUCAUCAAUAUACUCUACUGCAAAUACUGCAGCACUCGGCCCAAUCCCUGCCUCCAUUCCACUCCUGUCUAGCACACAUCUCUGGAUCGCUGGACUCAGCACUGCCUCCCCCCUCGGCCUGCAAACUCACCUGCUUUGCUCUACCCAGUUCUUAGAUAAUCCUCUGCAUUCCCCUGACCAAGAGACUCACCAUCAUAAAUUAAGUAUUGUAAAUAAAUUAUUCAUUGCAUCUAU